AAUCUCUGGAGAGUAGCUGUAAUGGCCGCCGAAGGUGUAAGCCGACAGAAGUCGGUGUAUCUCUCAGGCAAAAAGGACAGAGUU
rnacentral:ncRNA from 1 species